UACGGAGGGUGCGAGCGUUGUCCGGAAUCACUGGGCGUAAAGGGCGCGUAGGUGGCGCGACAAGUCAACGGUGAAAGCCCGGGGCUCAACCCCGGGUCGGCCGUCGAUACUGUCGGGCUUGAGCACUGUAGAGGCAGGUGGAAUUCCGGGUGUAGUGGUGAAAUGCGUAGAGAUCAGGCGGAACACCCGUGGCGAAGGCGGCCAGCUGGGCCGACCCUGACGCUGAGGCGCGAAGGCGUGGGGAGCGAACGGG
rnacentral:rRNA from 1 species